rnacentral:rRNA from 1 species
CGGCGAGUGAAGCGGCAACAGCUCAAAUUUGAAAUCUGGCCCCCCGCGGGCCCGAGUUGUACUUUGGAGAGGACGCUUCUGGCGCGGCGCCGUCCGAGUUCCCUGGAACGGGACGCCGGAGAGGGUGAGAGCCCCGUACGGGCGGCCGCCUAGCCUCUGCGAAGCUCCUUCGACGAGUCGAGUAGUUUGGGAAUGCUGCUCAAAAUGGGAGGUAAAUUUCUUCUAAAGCUAAAUACCGGCCAGAGACCGAUAGCGCACAAGUAGAGUGAUCGAAAGAUGAAAAGCACUUUGAAAAGAGGGUCAAACAGUACGUGAAAUUGUUGAAAGGGAAGCGCCUGUGGCCAGACUUGCGCCCCGCGGACCACCCGGCGCCUCGCGCGCCGGGGCACGCCAGCGGGGCGCAGGCCAGCAUCGGCUCUCUCGGGGGGACAAAGGCCGCGGGAACGUAGCGCCCUCGCGGCGUAUUAUAGCCCGCGGCGCCAUGCCCCCGGGGGGGCCGAGGACCGCGCUCCGGCAAGGAUGCUGGCGUAAUGGCCACCGGCGACCCGUCUUGAAACACGGACCAAGGAGUCAAGCAUUGGGGCGAGUGUCUGGGUGGCAAGCCCGCACGCGGAAUGAAAGUGAACGCAGGUGGGAGCUUCGGCGCACCACCGACCGAUCCUGAUGUCCUCGGAUGGAUUUGAGUAGGAGCCCCGCCGCUUGGACCCGAAAGAUGGUGAACUAUGCCUGUAUAGGGUGAAGCCAGAGGAAACUCUGGUGAGGCCCGCAGCGGUUCUGACGUGCAAAUCGAUCGUCAAAUA